GACGUCACAAUUUUAAAAUGGCUGACAUUCGCUGGCUGCUGGUCUAACUCAACUUUUAAGCAUGUUUACAUGUAAAUAAGGGUAUGGCAGCAACUAAUAAUGAAUUGUAAAACUAUUUACAGAUAAGUGCUAUCGAUUUAACAUAAUAAUAGAACUUUUAUGAAGUUAUUUAUGAAGCAAUCAGCCUUCGAUGUUCGUACAUAGAAUCUUCGUACGCAGUGCUAGGCAAGAUAAAAAAAUACAACAGUGAACAAUUUCAACAAAUGUCUGGAUACCACAAUAUGAUUUCGAACCCAUGGUAACACGUGAAUUGAAGUCAGACACCUUACUACCAUGCAACAGUAUCAUCGGACUUUGUGAAGUAACAGUAAUGCAGAAUACCUACAGACCAUGAAGUUGAGAAAUGAAGAAAUGCAGCUCUGAAUUGUUUAAUAUGGUGUGUGGGGAAAACAUUGUGGAUAUGAAGCAUAGAUAUCAUGUGUCAAUUUGAAGUAACAGUAACACAGAAUGGCUGGAGACCAGUUACUUAAGAACUGAAGAGAUGCAGGUCAUUGUUCUAUAUGGUGAUUGGUGGAACCAUGGUGCAGAUUUGAAUUGAUAAGAUGUGCAGUUACAGAAAAGCAGAAUAGCUACAGACCAUGAAAUUUAGAAAAUGAAGAGAUGCAUGUCUCUGUUCAGCAUGGUGUAUAUGGGAAACAUUGUGGGUCACAGACCUCUGUUCAACAUGGUGUAUAUGGGAAACAUUGUGGGUCACAGACCUGAAAUGAUUUGUGUGAAGUAACAGUAAAGCAGAAUGGCUACAGACAAUUAGUUCAGAAUUGAAGAAGAGAUGCAGGUCUUUGUUCUAUAUGGUGUAUGAGGGAACCAUGGUGGAAAUUUGGAUUUCAUGGCAGUCAUAGAAAUAUCUAAUAAGUCUGUUCUACAGUGAUGUGUGUACCAGUCUGUCAGACUUUUACCUGUCUGUCCAGUCGACAAAUUCGCAAUAGAUGCGUAGAUUCUCAAACAAUUUGGCAGAGUUUUCACAGUUACUACGACAGAUUGCAAAAAAUGUUUGAUAGCCAAACACCUUCCCCAGGAUUCGAUGCAGCAACCUUCUGAUAGAAAGGUGUACCUGUUGUGCAACGGGGAUAAGCUGGCUUGGUGACAGAUUGUCUAACAGGAAAAAGAAAAUGAAAAUGGUCCCAGGAAAGACAAGCUACAGUAGAUACAAGAUGCUAAGGACAAGAAUGUCUGUCUUUCAUGGAAACAUCAGAGUUCAGAAUGUUCUUGAAACAGGUUUGAGACAACGACAAUGGCCUUUAGACAAUUUUGGCAAGGCCACAAAAGUUGCCCUUUGGCAGUCUGAUGAUAAAGUGACUUGAAACAGUCAAAUGAUGAUAAAGUGACUUGAAACAGUCAAAUGAUGAUAAAGUGACUUGAAACAGUCAACUAAGCAGAACGUGCCAGGUUCUGAUGUAAAAAGGCGAAAUCACAAAAAAAAACAUUCCUGGCCUUCACCUGGACACAGUCGCACAACUUUAGCCAAUAGAACUACUACGUCAAAGUCACAGUCCACUUCAGGCGGAACUAACCGAUCUUUCCGGGAAACAUCAGACUGUGCAGCGCCCUCUAGUAGUAUGUCCGCGUUCCUGAAAAGCUGUGAUACAGCGCCACCUGGAAGAAUGAGACAAACGUCAGUCUAACCUCAGGGAAAUCAGCCGCAACCUUAACCAUUUAGUAAAAAUCUCUUUGGACUUUGUUGGAAAGGAAUCUGACCCUGAUAGUACCUUUGAACUUGACAGUGAGGAAGAAAGUUACGACGAAGAUGAUGAUGAUAUAUCAGAUGUUGAUGAUAUUGAGCUUGACUUAUCUAUGAUGGCUAAUAAUCUAACUCUGGAUGAAAUGGAGGACAUCCCUGUCCAAGGUGCCUUUGAGAGAGAUACUAUUAUUGAUGAAGAUGAGGAGGAAGAGGAGAUGGAAGAGGAAGGCCUUGAAUCAACAGAAGGAAGAGACUUGGUGACAGAAAGAAAAGCAGUGGUCUUUGAGGGCAAUAUGAGAGAACUCGCAGUGAUGAAACCAGUUACCACAUGUACCGUCAAAGGGUAUAGUCAGCCAGUCUCGUUGAAUACUAAAUAUUCUGGCGCUGCUAUUUAUUUGAAAUGGAUAUGUGGAAAGGGCCACAUGUUAAAGAAGUGGUGCUCCCAACCAAAAGUGAAAGGUAGGCUGUAGACAUAGUACUAGAGCCGUUUUACGCAAUUGAAUACCGCCGGAAGUAGAACAUUUAUGUCAACACCGGUUUCGUAUUUCACGUGAAAACAGCUGAAAACUGAGAGGUUAUCAACAAAUUAUUAAGUUACGGGUACCAUGGGGAUUUUUCAUGCAUUUAAACGACAGAAGUACAAGCCAACAAAUGACACAUUACAGUGGCUGCAGAAGCUUGAAAAGUUACUUAGAGCAGGGGCAGUCAGAACAAUGGGAUAAUGCUUCUAAUAAUAUACCUGUGAAAUCUUCAGUGUCACCAUUCAGCUAUAGUUCAAGAUCAGUGUCUGAAACUUGCACAGUUUAGUAUAGAGGAGCCUACUGGAUCAAUUUUGUUACAUAUUUACUGUUAUUGUAGGACACACAUGUAGAGAGCAGCAGGUCCUGUACAUCCGUGCAUGUAAAUGUGAUUCAGAAACUCUGAGAAUUAUGUAAACAUUACACUGUUAUAAUUUUCAAAAUACUAUGUCUUGUAGUGUAUCAAUACUGUUUUGUCUCAGUUUAUAGCACAGUAUGUUCACAAAUCAAACUUAAGAUCAUAGUGAUCAGUAUUAUUAAAAUCACUGAUUAUUUGUAUGGUGACAAAAAUUAAUUUCAUGCAAUACCACAGUAAAACGUUUGAUAAUUUUUGCUUUUGAAGGUGUAAGUUUAAGGUUAGCAUAAAUUGUUUUUCUCCUUCAUAAAUCUAAAAAGUGAUUAGUCAUUAUAAUUGCAAUAUCAUUUUAGUAUGACAAAGUUUAUUUAUAUUU